UACGGGGGGAGCAAGCGUUGUUCGGAUUUACUGGGCGUAAAGGGCGCGUAGGCGGUCAGCACAAGUCAGUUGUGAAAUCUCCGGGCUUAACUCGGAAAGGUCAACUGAUACUGUGCGACUAGAGUGCGGAAGGGGCAACUGGAAUUCUCGGUGUAGCGGUGAAAUGCGUAGAUAUCUGGAGGAACACCGGUGGCGAAGGCGGCAUCCUGGACCACGGACUGACACUGAAAAGCGAAAGGACCAAGGG
rnacentral:rRNA from 1 species